ensembl:lncRNA
CCCCCACCCGCCCCCCAAGAGCUUCAGAGGCCCUAUAGGUGACUGAGAACAUGCUCAGGUGGGGGCCCAUCAGGCUUGAUUUGCACCUGGUUGAAGCUCUUGCAAUUGUAGCCCACCCACCCCAUCCCACGCUAACCACCAUCUCAGGCAGGACGAUCAUGACCCACACAUGCAUCUUUACCAUCUCAGGCUUUCCGUGGGCGGCGCCUGGGUUUCAGCCUCACGCAGCCGCGUUGGCCCAGAGCAGGCUUCUUGCAAAGGUCUCUUCCGCCCGCCGCGCUGUCCCCGCUGCUUGCGCUGCUGGUGGGAUGUUUUCAAGCGGGUGAUCGAAGUCCACGUCAAGGACCCCCCGACACCCUAUCUGCUUACAAAUAAUGCCCAUUUAAGAAAGAAACAGCUACCAAGUGGGGCAAGCAACUUGGCUGUAUUCCAAGCCCUGGUUCCACCUGUUCCAAGCUCCUCAGGCUUCUACCUGUACUUUCUUGUCUGGGUAAGUUGAUAUGGGUUCAGUUUCUGUCACUUGCAACUCAGAGUCCUAACAUACACAGGUGCCCGGAAGUUUUGCUCAUUGUUUUCAGGGUAUUUGUGGACUUCCUGGGGAAAUCCAUCUUUGAAACUUUAUCCAUGGUCCUCAAAUAUGGGACCUCUGUUUAAAGCUAUCCUUCCGUCUGUGAACGUGAACCGCUACCCAGGAAAACACUGUCAUAAACUGUUUCACCUGAUAGCUUUUGUGUAUUUAAUUGAUCACAUUCAACUCAUAGCUACAAUUCAACUCUAAUAACCACAACAUUUUCAUUUUCAUAAACACUUUCAUCCUUGUUUUAUACCUAACAACACUGGGGCUGGAAAGGGUAAAUAACAUUUUCUAAAGUGGUACAGUUAAACUAAACCUAGUGUUUUGUCUCAAAUCUGAAGUUCUUUCUCCUAUACUGAAGUUUAUUGUUGACUUUGACUUUAAAUCUUUUAAGUUACAACUUUGAAAUUUGUCUUUAAAAAAUAUAAUUGACACAAGAAAGUAG